UACGGAGGGUGCAAGCGUUAUCCGGAUUCACUGGGUUUAAAGGGUGCGUAGGUGGGCAGUUAAGUCAGUGGUGAAAUCUCCGGGCUCAACCCGGAAACUGCCAUUGAUACUAUCUGUCUUGAAUAUCGUGGAGGUAAGCGGAAUAUGUCAUGUAGCGGUGAAAUGCUUAGAUAUGACAUAGAACACCAAUUGCGAAGGCAGCUUCUACCCGAAUAUUGACACUGAGGCACGAAAGCGUGGGGAUCAAACAGGA
rnacentral:rRNA from 1 species